UACAGAGGGUGCGAGCGUUAAUCGGAAUUACUGGGCGUAAAGCGUGCGUAGACGGUUAUUUAAGUCAGGUGUGAAAGCCCCGGGCUCAACCUGGGAAUUGCAUUUGAGACUGAAUAGCUAGGGUGCGGAAGAGGGAAGCGGAAUUUCCGGUGUAGCGGUGAAAUGCGUAGAUAUCGGAAGGAACACCAGUGGCGAAAGCGGCUUCCUGGGCCAGCACCGACGUUCAGGCACGAAAGCGUGGGGAGCAAACAGG
rnacentral:rRNA from 1 species